GUAGGGAAUAUUCCGCAAUGGGCGAAAGCCUGACGGAGCAACGCCGCGUGAGUGAAGAAGGUCUUCGGAUCGUAAAGCUCUGUCAACAGGGACGAAACAAGACGGUACCUGAGAAGGAAGCCACGGCAAACUACGUGCCAGCAGCCGCGGUAAUACGUAGGUGUCAAGCGUUGUCCGGAAUAACUGGGCGUAAAGCGCAUGUAGACGGCAUGAUAAGCCAAAUGUGAAAUGUAGGGGCUCAACCCCUACACUGCGAUUGGAACUGUCAAGCUUGAGUGCAGGAGAGGCAAAUAGAAUUCCCAGUGUAGCAGUGAAAUGCGUAGAGAUUGGGAGGAACACCAGUGGCGAAGGCGAUUUGCUGGACUGCAACUGACGUUGAGAUGCGAAAGCCAGGGGAGCAAACGGGAUUAGAUACCCUUGUAGUCC
rnacentral:rRNA from 1 species